rnacentral:snRNA from 1 species
GUACUCACUUUGGCAGCACAUACAAUAAAAUUGGAAUGAUACAGAAAAGAUUAGGUAUGGUCCCUGCACAAGGAUGACAUGCAUAUUCAUGAAGUGUUCCAUAUUUUU